AAAAACUUCAAACAGAUAACAGUGUUAGAGAGGUGGAAGUUGGCAAAGAUGUUCCUGAAGACUCUCAGCAUUCGAACAGAAAUAGCCAGCGCAGACCCGUCAGGAAAGGGCGUGGUAAAAACAGUAAGACAGGUCACACUAAUUCGAAAGCUACAAGUGCAAAAAUUAUCCUUGGAGAAAAUGUUAAGGAGUCUGAGAAUAUACUCGUCAAUGGAGGUUUUGAGACCUCAAUUAAUGUGAAUGAGAGCCAGAAAGAAGAUUCCAGUCUCUUUGGUGAAGCGCCAAGUAAGACCAGAAAGCGUACUCGCAUCCAUGGAACAGCAAGUGAAUUUGAUGGAAGUCAUAGUGAUGGACAGUCAGAUAGUGUGACAACCACCAGCAGGAGGAAGAGGAGGCAAAAGGCUGCCCCGUCUGUGCAGGCUCCUGGUGAAAAAAGAUACAAUCUCCGUCAUCCCAGAAGUGCUGCUGUAGCAACAGCUAAUGGAUCCUUGCCAGAGCUGGUCUCAAAAUCUCAGGAAGAAAAUGGGGACUCCAAAGUCGUUCCAGAAACUCCUGCAGCCAUCAGUGAUGGAGAACUCAGAAACUCUGAUGCUGCUCUCCCCGCUGUAGCCGAUAGCCCUUUGAUUGAAGCAGCAGAUGAUCAGGCAUGCGCUGGUGAUAUAGCUAAUGAAUUGGUAGAUGAUACAGGUUUAAGUGAAGAAAUAAAUGGAACACCAGAAGGUCCCUCAGCUUACAAUGUCUACGACGAGGAACAUGAAGGUGACACCAUUGUGCAAGAAGAAGAUGGAGAACGAGAUGAGGAUGCUGAUGAGAACGAUGAAUUAGAUGAGGGCAACGAGGAGGAAGAGGUUCCGCAUCCUGGUGAAGUCUCAAUAGGGAAGAAGAUUUGGAGUUUCAUCACCACAUAGUGAAUGGCCGAAAUGACAGUGCACAUGGGUUGCAUGCAUGUCUGAGGGUAGUUUUCUAGGCAUGUUGACAAGUAUUCCAUUUAUUUUGGUACACUUUUAGAGCGGUUUCAUGCUUUUAGAGUUUGUUUAGUGGUGGUGUGUAUUCUUCUUGAAAUGAAAACAGAAGUGUCUUUUGAGGUCGUAGCUUUUUUAAUGAUUGUGAUUAGGGUUGCCAGGUGCUUUCAUUUUGUUUUAACAAUCUUAGUGUCCAUAAUCUUGGUAGCAUGAUUUAACUAGUGAAAUUGUAACACUAGAUUUCCCUUUUCAUUGAAACAAUGUUACAAUAAUUUAG
rnacentral:misc_RNA from 1 species